rnacentral:rRNA from 1 species
AGAGCACUGAAAAGGCUAGGGCCCAUACCCGGGUACCAAACCUUACCAAACUCCGAAUACCAAUAAAUGAAGCAUGGGAGUCAGACUAUGGGGGAUAAGCUCCUUAGUCGAGAGGGAAACAGCCCAGACCACCAAUUAAGGUCCCAAAUUAUCACUAAGUGGAGAAGGAGGUGGAUUUACACAGACAAUAGGGAUGUUGGCUUAGAGGCAGCCACCAUUUAAACAAAGCGUAAUAGCUGACCUAUCGAGUGAAUCUGCGCCGAAAAUGAUCGGGACUAAGUGAUAAACCGAAAUUGUGGGUCCCGCGUAGCGGGACGGUAGAAAAGCGUUCUAAGUGGUUUGAAGCGGAAGCGAAAGCGACCGUGGACUGCUUAGAAGUGAAAAUCCAGGCUUAAGUAACGAUAAACUAGGUUAGAAUCCUAGUCGCCGAAAGGAUAAGGUUUCCUGGGCAAGGUUCGUCCGCCCAGGGUUAGUCGGGAGCUAAGGUGAGGCCGAGAGGAGUAAUCGAUGCACAGCAGGUUAAUAUUCCUGCACUGCCUGUAUCAUUAACUGUAAGAAGUGACGGAUUUGUAGAUCCUACCAAAGCGCUGAAGAUGCUGGAGAUCAAGGCUACGGCCGCGAACGUAUAGGAAAAGCAAGUUCCAAGAAAAGCUCUUACGGGAGAAGGGCACCCGUACCGCAAACCGACACAGGUAUCCGAGAUGAGUAUUCUAAGGCGCGUGAGUUAAAUCUCUCUAAGGAACUCGGCAAAUUAGCCCCGUAUCUUCGGUAGAAGGGGCGCCUAUUUAGGUAGGCCGCAGUGAAAGAGACCAACCGACUGUUUAUCAAAAACAUAGCUCUCUGCUAAGUCGUAAGACGAUGUAUAGGGAGUGACACGUGACCAAUGCGAAAAGGUGAACGCUGGAGGUGAGAGCUUCUGGUCUAAGCCCUCGUGAAUGUCGGCCGUAACUAUAACGGUCCUAAGGUAGCGAAAUUCCUUGUCGGGUAAGUUCCGACCUGCACGAAUCGUGUAACGAGUUGGUCGCUGUCUCGGAGAGAUGCUCAGUGAAAUAGUAGUCGCGGUCCAGAUGCCGCGUCCCCGCAGCAGGACGGAAAGACCCUAUGGACCUUUACUGUAAGCUGGU